rnacentral:lncRNA from 1 species
UACUUGGUAAAUUUCUCGGUCCACAGGAUAAAUGCUAACAAGUUUAGUAAUGUGACUGCAGCCUUCUCAGCUAAUCUUCUGCUGGCAGGCAAGCCCUGUGAAAAGGCAGAUGCAGGAUGAGCCCUUUAUAAGAAAAUCAGGCUGACCUCACUUGAAAGCUAUGCAGCCUGUGCUGACCUCUUCCCAGGCAGCAGGUAGCCGGUCAAAAUCAGCCCCAAGCCAGGAGCUCUGACUACCUCUUCAAGAUUUUUCAUCCCAUAGCAUGAUUCCAUACAUAUAUGGUGGGGAAGGAGUUUAAUUAACAAAGCUAAAUCUUCUAAAUCCUGUUUGAAGCAAGUUAUAAUUACUCUGUUGGUAGAAUCUGCUAUAAACUCCAGAUACAGUUCCUGAAUGGGGCCCUGAUGCUGCCUUUGUAAGAUGUGAUAGAAGGUUUUAAUUAAGUUUCUAAAUUGCAGAGUGCCUGCAUCAUGCUGGUGACCACAACAAGCAUCUUAUCACAUUGUUAAUUCGAUGUCCUGCCUUUUCUGAGGUCGGUUUCUGUGAGAAGACUGGUUAGGUUCAAAAUAAGGUAGGAGGAAUACUGCAGUUUUAUGUAUCAGAAAAUCAAAACAUAACAUAUGUUAGAGGUAUAGUCUUAACAAUUAAAUUAUCCAAAGAAGCACAGAAAAUAAAUGUCUCGUGCCAUCUGUAAAGCAUGAAAAGGCAGAUCUACAUUCAAGUAUUUCCUCUGUGCCAACAUCAGUAUGUCCAAGCCAAUUGCAUUAGUGUGUCCAGAUAAAAUUAAUCCCAGAGCUGUGGUUUCUCUUGAGUUUUAGUCCAGUGCUGUCCAGUACAGUUUUCUGCAGCAAUAGAAAUGUUUUACUCUGCACUGUCCAAUAGGAACUAGAGAAUUGAAUUCUUACUUUUGGUUUAUGUUAAUUAUUCUAAAAUCUCACCACAUGUGCCUAGUGGCUAACAUAAUGGACAGCACAAUUUGUUUCGUUAGUGAAGGGUGCUGUUUUCUGCUCUCUGUGAGAUUCACCACAAUCUUCCUUGCAACUAUUUUCUUUGACUCUUUUGAAAGUUUUGAAAUUUUUCACAUCAGCCUUAUAUUACUAAUCUAGGCAUGUGAAGAAUGUCUUCUCUGUGUGGGCCAACAUACUGCUUCAAGGA